AUCCAGCUGACGAGUCCCAAAUAGGACGAAAUGCUUUUAUCCUGGAU
rnacentral:hammerhead_ribozyme from 1 species